rnacentral:rRNA from 2 species
GGCAAGAUUAAUAGGGCGCUACGGUGAGACUUGCCUUGCCUAAGAGCGAUGAAGGACGUGCUUAUACGUACGAUUCAUUCUAGUGUGAGCAGUAAUGUACGCAUUGAUUCCCCUAGGUCUCCGAAUGGGGAAACCCAGCUUUGUACUAGCAAUGUUAUUCAUGAUGUUAUACACACAUCGCUCAUGUAUAAGCUCUAAUUUCGCAAGAGAACUGACCACAUCUAAGUACUGCAGGAGAAAAGUUAAAAACGAUUUCUGUCAAGUGCGCCGACCGCGAACGCGAAUGGAUAUGUGUCUAACAAGAUAUUCUUGCCUUGGGUUGUAGGACUGCAUACGCGACUUAAGCUUAUAGUUCGAAUAACCUGGAAGUUAAUCAAGAUGGUAAUAAAUCCCGUAGACGAAAAUGCGCUUAUACCUAGCAGAUAUCCUGAUUAGUGCUGCACGCGUAACCAAGUUUGAAUCCGGCGAGACACCUUCCAACCUAACUACUUCCUUAGGUUGACGAUAGUGAAACCAGUACCGUGAGGAAAGGUGAAAGGUAACCUCCUGAGUAGGGAGAUAUAUUAUCACCUAAACCGUGUGCCUACAAGAGUUCGAGCGUUAAUUGUCGGAGGCGUGCCUUGUAGAAUGAACCGGCGAGUUACGUAUGAUGCGAUCGAGCAAGUUGAGAGAGACGGAGCCGGUAGGGAAAACCGAGUCUGAAUUAGGCGACUUAGUAUCAUGAUGUAGACCCGAAUACCUUUUACCGGUGACCCCUUAUUUAUGAUCAGGGUGAAGGUUGGUGGUAAGACGCACUGGGAGGCCCGAUUACCCAGGACAUCGUUGAUAAGUGUUUUUGGAUGACUUGUGGAUUAGCGGAGAAAAUUCCAAACGAACUGGGGAUAGUCUGGUUUUCCGAAAUAGGCUUUUUUAGGUGCUUAGCGUCGAAAUGUAAGUGUAUUUGGAUAGGCAACUGUUUGGGUGAGGGUCCGUCUAGAUAUCCUAAUCUCAGAUAACUCCGAUCAUUGCAAUCACACAUGUUCGUGCAUGUAGACUGCGAGUGCUAGGAUCGUAGUCGAAAGGGAAACAGCCAGCCACAGCUAAGGUCCCAACAUAUAUGUUAAGUGGAAUCUAAGGAUGUCUGGGUUGCACAGACAACUAGGAUGUUAGUCAGAUACAGCCUAUCAUUCAAGAUUGCGUAAUAGCUCACAGUCGUAUGACUCUGCGUCCGAAAAUGUACCGGGCUUUUAAACAUAUUACCGAAGCUUUGGACUUGAUUAUGUUUAUCCAAUGGUAGGAUGAGCGUCUACGCGGAUGCUAUACCGUGAGAGUGCUGGGAGCGUUUAAGAAGUGAGAAUGCCGGUAGUGAGUGCGCAAGAUAAGUGAGAAUCUUAUCCACCGUAAGGACUAAUGUUUCCAGGAAAGGCUCGUCCGCCCUGGGUUAGUCGGGACCUAAGCUGGAGGCCGAAAGCGUAGUCGAUGAAACGGUUGAUUUCAUGUACUAGAUAUGAUCGUGAUGGAAGGGACGCAUUAUUGCUAAGAGUUAUGGCCAGUAAUGGAUUCUGGUCUAAGCGGUGAGGGUGUUGAGAUGUUUUCAAAAUGCAUCUCUCUAACAUUGAGCUGUGAUGGGGAGGCAUACUUACUGGGUUGCGAUAUCUCUGAUGUCACACUGCCAAGAAAAGCUUCUAGCGUAAAGUCAUUUUUCCCCGUACGCAAACUCUGUACAUCAGGUCAGUCUGUAUGCGAGUUAGCCUCUUCUGUUGAUCGAGAGAACUCUCGUUAAGGUAACUCGGCAAAAUAGCCCCGUAACUUCGGGAGAAGGGGUGUUGGUGUAAAAAGCCAGCCGCAGUGAAAUAUGGCCCAGCAUAUCUGUUAUCACCUACAAACACAGCUCUCUGCUUAAUACGCUAAUCUCAGGUGUCUGUAUCUCAGGUGGUUGACGCCUGCCCGGUGCUGAAGGUUAAGAGGAUGGCUUAGACGUAUAUCGAAGGAUUAUUGAAUUGAAGCCCCCAUAACCGGCGGCCGUAACUAUAACGGUCCUAAGGAGCGAAAUUCCUUGUCGGGGUAAGUUCCGAACUCCGCACGAAGGCGUAGAUGAUUUGUGGCCACUGUCUCAUUACGAGUAGACUCGGUGAAAGCCCUCUCAGUCUACCUGUUGAAGAUGCAGGUUACCGGACAGGACGGAAAGACCCCAUGGACUUUACUGUAGUUUGAUAUGAGUACCUGUAUUAAGUCAUGUUACGAAUUUAGGUAGAGCCAUUAAAUAGGACGCUAGUUUCUAUUGAGGGCGUUCGUUGGGAUACUACCUCAUCUUUAAUCUCUAUACCCGCUUGGCAUAAUCGGUCACGUCGAUAACAGUGUCUGACGAUCAGCUUGACGUGUGCGGCGGCCUCCUAAAGAUAACGGAGGCGCUCACAAGGUUGUCUCAGAUAUGGUUGGAAAUCAAUCGUCAGAGUGUAAAUGGAAAAGCCAGCUGACUGCGAGAGCUACAACUCGAGGCAGGUAGGAAAAACUAGGACUUAGUGACGGUCCGGUACCGCAUGGAAUGGGCCAUCGCUCAACGGAUAAAAGCUUUACCUGGAGCGUAUAACAGGCUUAUCUCCCCAAGAUUCACAUCGAGGGGAGGGUUUGGCACCUCGAGGCGGCUCGUCGCAUCCUGGGGCUGUAGUCAGUCGCCGCUAUAGUUGCUGUCGGCCAUAAUAUUGCGGCACGCGAGCUGGUGGUUCAGAAGUCUCGUGAGACAGUUCGGUCCUAUCCCGUCUUGCUGUGCCUGCGUAUGUAAUUUGAGAUGGAUUGUCUCAGUUAUCGAGAGGACCGGAUGGACUUACCGCUGUUUCCGUCACGUGUUGUUCCGCCAGGAGCACCCGGCUGACUAGCUAUGUUGGGAAGGGAUAAGCGUCUGAAAGCAAUCUAAGUGCGAAAGCCCACUCAAGAUUGAGAUUUACCAUUCGUAAGAAUUAAGAGCCCAGAGAGGAGAUCUGGUAGCUAGGCUGAAGUGGAAGUUCGUCGAG